UUUGCCAAGCUCCAUGUGCAACAAGACCCAUCCGCUUUGCUUUUCAGAAUGGGGCUUCUUUUUUUUCACCGCGUUCAAAGAAUCAUCGCUGUUUAUGACUAAAAAGCCCUGUGUGAAUUGACCAUGACUCCACACCCAAAGUUAUAUAGUUUGCAUGUCCUGCAGAAGGACCCUAGUAUGCGGAAAGGCAGUUGGAGUUCGCCAGUCCCCUCUGCACCACCAGUAUAGGAACGCUAGCUUGGUGUGCAACGUUCGGUGGUAGUGAGUAUAACCAGAGAUAUUGUAAUAUGACCUCUGGCAUAAUUUAGCUAACGUUAUUGCUGGUUAAGUAGCUAUCUAGUCAUUUUUGGCAGUCAUCACUGCAAGCGAUCAUCAUUCUCAAAGCUGCUGUUCACUUCUGAAGAUCACUUUAGCACUGCCCUAAAAACACGAUUCAAGUUCGACACAAACCUUCAAAUAGAUAUCUUGUGCAGUGGAAACACUUGAGCCUCUGCCUCGUCCACAUCAGCAAUAACUCAUCACUCCUACUCCAGGAUGCCGGUGGGCGGAGUUGGGGAGGGUCGUCAGCUACAUGGGAAACACCUGGGCCAGGUGUGUCCCAGGAUAAAUAGACCUCCUCUACAUUCAUGGAGAGAGCAUUUUUGGAGCUAGAAACCAACAUUUUUCUGGCCGUACGAUACACAUAGGUGUAUGUGACAAACUUUUAUUUGCUCACCAACUGCUGCUGAUGCACAACCAAAUUCUAAAUUUCACCUUGUGUAUUUUACUAUUGUAACACAACAGUAAGUGACCGCUGAUAAAAAAAUAAAAAUAAAAUAAUAAUAAAGGUCAGUGGCCCCCUGGCUACUGCUUAUGUGGAUUAUGCCUGCAGCCCGCUGUGGUUAUGCGUCAUAGCGCAAUUCCAUCCUCACUGGAAGUAAUCAUUGCUUAGACAUGAUUGGGCAAGUCAUGUAUUUCGAAAUGAUCACUGAUUACAGGGGGGGAUAUGGUUAAAAAAAUACUAUUGUAUUUCACUUUCAAUCCAUGUUCUUUACAUUCAAUGUCAAAUUCUGUAUACUGAUUAUUUCCAUUCCAAAAGAAGUAACUGAUGUGGAAUGUAACAGGUCUCAAUUUAAUUCUGAAUGGACCCCAAUCUAGCUUGGAAAACUAUUUGAAGCACUAGGGUCAUUUCUCCAUAUAACAUUACAUAUAGUUAGCCUGUAACUAUCUGGACAACUUGUCCUAUGUGUCAUCUCCAUACUUAUCAGAAUGUCAAAAAGAAAGAGGGCCCCAACUUUUGAUGACAUUGCCUCAGUUAUUAAAAGGCUAGGCCUCUCACCAGACGAAGUUAGAGCAGCGUGCUUCCAUCAGGAAAAUUAUUAUUUUCUGUGCUGGUCAUUGAACUGGAAAGGUCUAACUCCCUCAGCUAUCACCGUCAACUCUACGACGUGUGGAGGAAGGGAAGGAUAGCCAAUGCGCAACCCCCCUCCGUCUCCAAGAUUUCCCCUACACUACCCCAGGUCCCUUAAUCAAUACCCCAGCAAGAAUGCACCACAUGCCUGCUGCCUUUAACACCAGCACAAGCAGCUGGAAUGUUUGAAACGGUUGAUCCCGCUAACAUAUCCCACCUUCCACCACUGCACCCCAAGCCUGGAGACAUUUUUAUGUUUGGAAGGCGGAACAAAAGCGAUGGAUUCAGAAGGGAUCCCACAGCCUUCCGCGCCGUUCACCAAAACUAAGGGUGCGAUAGUAUGCAGGGAAGGAAGCACCAGGGCUCCAAAAAAAGGGAGUAUGAGUUGCUGCAUCAGCCUCAUACUGUGCUAGUUCACUACUUUGGUUUCCGCUGUCCCCCACCCCCACGGCAACAGCCAACAGCAGCAAGCAAGGGAUUUCAUCUGAUUGGCUCCCUCAAUUAUAGAUGAAAUGUCCAGGCGAAAGACUGAAACACCUGGAAAAGUACACUGACAUGACCAAUAACCCACCACCACCCCCGAAUACAUCAUUCAUGCCAGAGUACCAACCUCGCAACUUGGCACAAGUGAAGAACACAAUUUGUCGAGCAAGGGACAUUACUGUUUUGGACCAGGACGAGUUGGUGGCACAACACAUAUGAUGGGUGACAUUCUCUCCGGAUUUGUCACCCAUAUGGAGACUCGACCCGCAACCCUUCUGGUGGUGGAAGCACCAGAAAUGGUUGAAGAGGCCUUUUGAUGGCAUGCUGGUAAUCGGCCACAGCUUGGGCACCCUCUGACCCCAUCUUGUACUUCACAUUGUUCGAGAUGAGGUUCCAGCAAUUGACAAUCCUGGCUUGCGGCAGCACAAACUGGAUUGCUCCCUCAAUAGCUGCCUCACGGUCUGUGCAGAAGAUUGCUGUUGAUAGUUGGGGAAGGAGUUAGAGGAUGGUGCAAAAGAACUGUUUGUGGUUUUCCAUGUGCCGGGUGGUGUGAAUGAAAAAGGCCAGGGGAAGGACAGGUGCCUCUUGAAACGCUACAUGACGGAAAACAAGGGGUGAAACAUAAAAAUUGCCCAGGUCAAACGGUGUCAUAGUGAAAAAUGUGUGCUUCUUGGUGUUUGCAUUUAAUGACUGCCUUGGCCUCUUCAACCAUUUCUGGUGCUGCCACCACCAGAAGGGUUGCGGGUCGAGUCUCGAUAUGGAUAACAAAUCCGGGGAGAAUGUCACCCAUUCAAAAUAUUAAUGUAAGCGAUUUUAGAAUAAGGUUGUUAGGUUAUAGCACGUGAAAAAGAAAAAAGGAGUCUGUCUCUCUGGUAGAGUAAUGGUUAUGGUGUGUGCUCUUUAAACCAGAGUUUGAGAGUUCAAAUCAGAGGAGAGCAUUUUUUAGAGAGCCAUUUUUGAUGUUGCCUUUUGUUGGCAUGAAAGUAAGACCUUCACGGUAAGGUCCACAGCUGUUGUAUUCGGAGCAUGUGACAAAUACAAUUUGAUUUGGCUUGGUUUUUCCUCUGGCAUGCACUGUCAACUGUGGGGCCUUAUAUAGACAGGUGUGUGCCUUUCCAAAUCAUGUCAAAUCAAUUGAAUGAAGUUGUAGAAACAGCUCUAGGAUGAUCAAUGGAAACAGGAUGCACCUGAACUCAAUUUGAGACUCAUUGCAAAGGGGAAGAAUCAUUAUGUAUAUAAGGUAUUUCUGUUUUUUAUUUGUAAUUCAUUUGCUAAAAUAUAUAAACAUGAUAUUCACUAUGUCAUCAUAGGGUAUUGUGUGUAGAUUGAGGGAAAAUAUUAACGUAAGCGAUUUUAGAAUAAAUUUGUUAGGUUAUAGCAUGUGAAAAAGAAAAAGGAGUCUCUGCAUAUGAAAAAUGGUUACUCUCCCUUUGGGCCAUGCAUACUCUCUCCAGUAGAGUAAUGGUUAUGGUGUUUGCUCCCCAAACCAGAGUUUGAGCGUUCAAAUCUGAGGAGAGACAUUUUUAGAGAGACAUUUUUGAUGUUGCAUGAAAGAGCUAACUUGAGGGGGGUAGGGGCUAGUUCCCAUCAAAUAGAAGAACUGAAGUGACACCUUGCAUAGAAUGUCAUUUUAAUAGAGUUGUGAUAACAUACUAUGUCGUGGAGUAACAAUAUAAUCCCUGUCUGCAAAAGGCCAACUUUGACCUGGGGGCAUGCUUUGUAGACCAUUCAAAAGCGUUCCGAUACCUUGUCCCCAAGAAAAAAACACAUGUUAUGAUAGUUUAAAAAAUAGUUGUAGUAGUAGUUAUGGUGGUGAAUUCCCAAAGGAGAGGUUGUGAGUUAAAUUCCUUUCAAGAGCAUGCCAACUUUCUUUUGUUGCCUUGACAGAACAAUGUUGAGGUGGGGUUCCGGAAGGACAUAGACAGCAAGGGAAAUUGGAUUAUAAAAUGUUAGGGUACAGCAACUGGUGUUGAGUAGGAGUGCUGAUCUACGAUCAAACCCACCCCUGUCCAUAUAAUCUUAUUCCAGAGACAACUGAUUCAGAAUGAUCUAGGCAAAGCUGAUCAUAAAAAAGUGCUCCUCUGUACGCAUUUAUGAAAUGUCUCAGGCUAAGAAUGCUGAACUGGAAUCAGUACCCCCCACCCCCCGUCAAAGUAGUGUUAUUCAUUCUACUCACAAAUCCUAAACAGAUCCUAGUUCAGCACUCCUACUUCAAGCCACCAAGUGAAUGUUGGGUAUUGAGUGCUAAACGUUUUGAACAGUGGUUGAAAAAGUACCCAAUUGUCCUACUUGAGUAAAAGUAAAGAUAUGUUAAUAGAAAAUGUCUCAAGUAAAAGUGAAUGUAACCCAGUAAAAUACGAAGUAAACGCCAUUGCUAAAAGAUAAUUAAGUAUCAGCGGUAAAAUUAUAAAUUAUUUGACCUUCCAUAUAUUAAGCAAACCAGACAGCACAAUUGUCUUGUAUUUUUAUUUAAGAAAUAGCCAUGGGGACACACAGGCAUAAUUUACAAACAAAGCAUGUGUUUAGUGAGUCUGCUCGAUCAGAGACAGUAGGGAUGACCAGGGAUGUUCUCUUGAUAAGUGUGUGAAUUGGACCAUUUUCCUGUCCGGCUUAGAAUUCAAAAUGCAAAAAGUACUUUUGGGUGCCAGGGAAACUGUAUGGAGUAAAAAAUAUAUUAUUUUCUUUAGAAAUGUGGUGAAGUAAAAUGUAAUGUUGUAAAGAAACAGAGUAAAAGUACAGAUAAAACCCCCCCCAGAUAUAAACGGAAUGUAGUGGAGUAGUUUAAAUCCAUUUUUGUUAAGUCAUUUACACCACUGGACUUGAAAGGAACACCUCAAUUACUUCGACUAACAGGUCCCCCCACACAUUGACUCUGUACCGGUACCCCAUGUAUAUAGGCUCGCUGUUUUUAUUUUACUGCUGAUCUUUAAUUAUUUGUUACUUUUAUUUCUUACUUAACACAUUUUUCUUACAACUAAAUUGUUGGUUAAGGGCUUCAUUUCAGCAUUUCACUGUAAGGUCUACACAUGUAGUAUUCGGAGCAUGUGACAAUUUGAUUUGUUACACAUGAAAACAUGUUGUGAACCUGGUGUGACAUUAUUGAAGCUGGGCUGACACCUAGUGGACAUCAAGAGGUACUACACUACACACACACACACACACACACACACACACACACACACACACACACACACAUAUAUAUCAAAUCAAAUGUUAUUUGUCACAUACACAUGGUUAGCAGAUGUUAAUGCGAGUGUAGCGAAAUGCUUGUGCAUAUAUAUAUAUAUAUAUAUAUAUAUCCACACACACUAUAAUCUUAAACCUUAAAACAGAUAUGAUGCUUUACAUAAGUUGCUAUUUUUUAUUAGACACUAAUAUAUAUGUACAAUAAACAGAGGUUCAAAGUCUGAAUGUAAAGCAAAAACAACUGGAAAGUUAUUCAAAAGCAGGUGUAGUGAAUCAAGCAUCUUGGGGUUACCUGAAAUAGGUCAAAGUAUAUAUUUUAAAUGUUCCAAUUUAUUUAAUCUUUAUUUAACUAGGCAAUAUGAACUCAACAUCAUCGACAUAGACACAAGUUACCUGCUAUAUUUCGUUGAUGGGGAGACCAGAAUUAGAUUAAGCUAUGGUGGCAGCACAUGGAGAGAUGUGAUGGAGUCCUGACCGACAGAGGCUUGAUACUGACAUCUCUGAAUGGAGAGAGACCUGGCACUCAACACAUCCACAAUGUGGGACAGAAGGAGAAUGCCCCCUCUCCUGUGUGGACCUUCAGGUGCAUCUUCAGCUGGUGCUGGCGGGAGAACCUCUUCUCACACAUCUGGC